rnacentral:rRNA from 1 species
GAUGAACGCUGACAGAAUGCUUAACACAUGCAAGUCUACUUGAACUUCGGUUUGGGUGGCGGACGGGUGAGUAACGCGUAAAGAACUUGCCUCACAGUUAGGGACAACAUUUGGAAACGAAUGCUAAUACCUGAUAUUAUGAUUUUAGGGCAUCCUAAAAUUAUGAAAGCUAUAUGCGCUGUGAGAGAGCUUUGCGUCCCAUUAGCUAGUUGGAGAGGUAACGGCUCACCAAGGCGAUGAUGGGUAGCCGGCCUGAGAGGGUGAACGGCCACAAGGGGACUGAAAAACGGCCCUUACACCUACGGGGGGAAGAAGUGGGGAAUAUUGGAAAAUGGACAAAAAGUUGGAUCCAGCAAUUUUGGGUGCACGAAGACGUUUUUCGGAAUGUAAAGGGCUUUCAGUUGGGAAAAAAAAAAUGACGGUACAAACAAAAGAAGGGACGGCUAAAUACGU